CUGAGAAGAACCCUAAAUCGAUUGGGUGCAUCUGGAACAAAGUUUAAGGGCCAUUGUUGAUCUUGGAAGGGUUGUGGUGCAAGGAAGAGAAGGGCUUGGCUAAAGGAACAGCAAGGGAGUCACGUUCUGAGGAUUUGGGGACACAGAGGGCACAUUAUUCAGGUAAGAAUUCGAAUUAUGCUCUGCUAUGUUGAUGUGUCAUGGAAUUAGGGUUUAUGGAACCCCCUUUGUGAUUAGAUUAAGUGUUACCCUAGUCCCCAAACGACUAUAACCCUGUAUUAGGACCUUAGAGGUCCAGAAGGUCCCAUGCUUGUGUAUUUCGGGACAAUACUUAUCUUAGAAAUCAGUUUGAUCGACUGCAUGGCAUGGACUCGACGAGUCUGAUGAACAGACUCGGCGAGUAGCUUGGAGAUUGACGGGGACUCGGCGAGUUGAGUCGGGGUGGCCCCGCAAUUCUUCCAGGAAGAACUCGUAGAGUAAAAAGGGGAUACUCGACGUGUAGAAAGGGAANNNNNNNNNNNNNNNNNNNNNNNNNNNNNNNNNNNNNNNNNNNNNNNNNNNNNNNNNNNNNNNNNNNNNNNNNNNNNNNNNNNNNNNNNNNNNNNNNNNNUAUGUGAGGGUGCUUAGUUGUUGGGAUUCAGCAGUGUUUGUCAGCUCAGAGUAUAGGCCAACGAGAGCGGGUGUCGGGUAUGCGAGGCAGGAUACAGACCUAGGGCAUUUGAUUGUGGAGGCCUGAGAGGAGGCCGGGAUCAAGCUUGAGUAAGUAAUCGGGAUUAUGCGAUCAGAGUAUUGGUACGUUUGAGGUACGUGAUGGGUUGUACUGCAUUAAUCCCACGGGAUUAUGUUGUGCAUGUUUCUAGAGCUGGAACCGGAAGGUUCCCAGAGUUAGAACCUGAGGGUUCGCAGAGUUUGGGUGUACGGACCCACAGAGAUAUAGCCUCGAGUGGCUAGUAUGUGUUAUGAGAGUCGGUCCAGUCAUGCUGGAGACUCUGUUGGUAUUGCUGGAUCAGUUUGAGGUUGCGGAUUGUGUAUGUUGCAAUGUGAUUGCAUUGGGAGGUCUGGCCCCGGGUUAGUAAUCUUGUUUAGCUGAGGCAGUGAUUUUGAUGAGUGGAGAGAGUGCAUGGGAUUGAGAGCCCCUGCAAGGAUAACCAGGGUAUGUGAAUAGCGGUUACGAAAAAGGGUGGUGUCGCUUGGGGCAAGCACCGUGGCACCGGUUGGAGUGGCAUUAUGGCCAAGAGGGUCCCUUGGAAGGAAAAGGGAAAGGUGUGUAACUCCGAAGGGGAGUGCAAGUUCACAAGAAUGAAAGCUGCAGAGCAGAAUUAUGGUUAGAGUAUUUCGAGUAUGGCUUUGAGCAUCGUGUUCGCGGCAGCGAAGUAGGAACCCAUCUGGGUUGGAGAUGUCUGUUGAGGCUCAGAAGGGAUGCAGGGGGAGAGAGAAUCUUAAAUUCUCCGUGUGAUUCUGAUCAGAGUGUAGGAUGGAUGUAAUGGUUCAUCUUGGGAGAUGUUCGAGGAUAUCAUCAGUGUAUUGGGUCCUCCAACCUGCGGGUGUUGGGACUAGUUCAGUAGGUGUAUGUGAUGGCAAGAGGAGGACUUGUGAGAGUUGCUCUGAGAGUGAGAAUGGAUCUCUCAGUUGGUCCGGGAUGGACAAAGUGGGCUUUGGAUCGGGGAUCCGGUGGUUCAUGGUUUCCUAACCCUUAUGGGUCGAGUGAUUGUUGAGAUUUAGAGCAGAGUUGCAUCUUGGGUAAUUCUCGGUUACAGAGAGCGAUGGACAGUACAGAGAUCGGGCUUCAGUCGACAGAGCAGAUUCAGCAGAUGAGACAGAGGUUAUUGACCGCCCAGAGCCGACAGGAAAAGUUAUGCAGACAGCCACCGAUCCGAGCUUGAGUUUCAGGUCGGCGACUUCGUACUCCCGAAGGCCUCUCUUUGGAGAGGAGUGAUUCGAUUCAAGAAGAAGGGCAAGUUGGGCCCCCGGUACAUUGGGCCAUUUCGGGUGAUUGCAAGGAUAGGCCGGGUAGCCUAUCGAUUGGAGUUGCCAGCGGAGUGGGGACAGAUCCACGACACCUUUCAUGUGUCGCAAUUGAGGAAGUGCUUAGCUGAUGAGUCGGCAGUGGUCCCAUUAGAAGACAUUCAGGUGGAUGCGGGCCUGAAUUAUGCUGAGAGACCAGUGGUCAUCAGAAAUCGGAAGAUCGAGGCUAUGAGGUAUAAGGAGAUACCUCUAGUAUUAGUUCGGUGGCAGCACCGGAUGGGCCGGAAAUGACCGGUGAGCUGGAACGUGAGAUGCGAGAGCAGCAUCCGGAGCUAUUUUCAGAGUGAGACUUCGAGGGCGAAGUCUAGUUCUAGUGGGGGAGAGUUGUAACAGCCCGGAAUUUCAAAUAUCGAUAUAACUAUGAUUUGGGGGUGUUUUAAGAAGGGACUCGGCGAGUUGGAGCCUAGACUCGCCGAGUAGGAUCGCAGACCGGGUCGCGGGUUCGCGACUGGACUCGACGAGUCCAGAUAUGGACUCGGCGAGUCUGCGCUGUUUGGCGAAAACCCUAACCGUUCAGGUUUGGGACGUAUAAAAGGGACUUAUUGGCCGUCAUUGUUCAUUUUAGCCUUCUGAGAAGAACCCUAAAUCGAUUGGGUGCAUCUGGAGCAAGGUUUAAGGGCCAUUGUUGAUCUUGGAAGGGUUGUGGUGCAAGGAAGAGAAGGGCUUGGCUAAAGGAACAGCAAGGGAGUCACGUUCUGAGGAUUUGGGGACACAGAGGGCACAUUAUUCAGGUAAGAAUUCGAAUUAUGCUCUGCUAUGUUGAUGUGUCAUGGAAUUAGGGUUUAUGGAACCCCUUUGUGAUUAGAUUAAGUGUUACCCUAGUCCCCAAACGACUAUAACCCUGUAUUAGGACCUUAGAGGUCCAGAAGGUCCCAUGCUUGUGUAUUUCGGGACAAUACUUAUCUCAGGAAGCAGUUUGAUCGACUGCAUGGCAUGGACUCGACGAGUCUGAUGAACAGACUCGGCGAGUAGCUUGAAGAAUAACUGGGACUCGUCGAGUUGUUCUUCAGACUCGGCGAGUUGAGUCGGGGUGGCCCCGCGAUUCUUCCAGGAGGA
rnacentral:lncRNA from 1 species